CUCCUCUCCUCUCCCUAAGCGCCCGUCCGUAAUAUUUCAGUUCUCUCUUGAGCCCAGCCCUAAUUUCACUGUGUCUCUCUCAUGCCCACCCUUCACUCUCUCUCUCUCUCGCAACGACAACAACACUGGCAUAGGCAAAUCUCCGGCAUCUAGGAGGCUGUAUUCUUUUGAUUGUGUUUUGGAGGCAGAUCUAAAGAUCUCAAAUCAUCAGCAAAGCUGGCGGCGACACUAGCUUGGAGGAGAGAAAUAGGGACGCUAAACAUCAUGAUUCAGAGCUGCCAACUCUGCGUUCACUUAAGCUGUGGUAUUUUCUUAAUAGGUUGAAACAGAUUCCAGUCAUCAAACUGAGAUUUCCAACUCUAAAGCAGGUAUGGAGCUUCUUGACAUCAUUCUAACCAAGGUAUAUAUAUCUACCGAUGAAUAUUUUGAAGCAGAGACAGCGAUGGUUGGCCAGGUAAAUAAUGCACUUGAUGUGAUGAAACUACAUGAUGGUUUUUCCCAUACCUAGGAUUGAAUGAUGUAUUUGUUUUGUUUGUUGAAAAGCCUUAUUUCACCAUAACUACUUUGUUUAUGAUGAUUGUGCCUGUUUUGUACGUAGUCACUUUCUUGCGUAUAUGCUAUUGAAGCAUUUGAUGAGGCAUCACUCUGUGACACAUGCUUAUUAUAUAUGGUCAAUAUUGCAGCUUAUGGAUGCAUAAGCUUUAAGUUAUAUUUUCGUGGAUUUUGUAUUGCAUUUAAUGGAACUUAAUUAUCAAUGAUAUUCCCUCUCACUUUUGUAUGGCAAUAGCUGCUGGACUUGUUUCUUGGCCAUGUGUCACGGGCCAACUCCUUUAGAGGCGCAGCGGAUCAAUUUUUCACCCGUGUGGCGCUCAAACUCCACCAAGUUUAAGCCUGCCAUAGCUUAUUGACAAAUCGAGUGUUGAUGGUCUCACCCGUUUGAACAUUAGGGCCCAAUGCUUUGUCAAGCAAAAUAACUUCACAAGGAAGCUCCGUCUUCAUCCGGAUGCCACAAGUAGGCCUAACGCCUCAAGUGCACCAAGCACGGCAUAAGUCGCUUCAUGGCACCAAGCUUACCUCAAGCAAGGUGCUCGUCUAACUUAGGUUUAUGUUACCAAGGUGCCUAGCCACGCAACAAUGUGUUAACGAAGGCCUUCGACUUAGCCAAUAAGCCAACAUUGCAUGUUGGGUCUUUAACAGCAUCUCGAAGUGUCGUAGGGUCAAGCAUGCCUCAAUAGAUGCAUAUUGGAUGGCCACUUGGUCAUGCGAAGCCCGCAAGCCACCGAGGGUCAAUCUCUUGCCCACGACGUAUUUUUCGUGCCUACACGUGUGUUAGAUUCCGCUUAAGGCCAUUGCGCACCUUAGCGUUGCACCAACGUGUAGCAUGAGUAAGGCAACAUCUCAAUCCAUAGCUUGCUUGUAGCAUAAUGUAGUCCCUCAAUGGACUUAGUCAAUGCAUAGCUUGAUGCCUUCAUUCAAUAGCCCACAUAUGCCGCGUCGCCUUCCAACCGCCACGAGAUCCCUUCGUGCAAGAUUGAACCCAAACCAAGCACUUGAGUUUGUACACGAGGCCUUUAGUGUUGCCUCGAUAGCUCAUUCAGUCCAAAACGAGUCCCAAAGAUGCCAUAUUGCGUGGCAUAAUGGAAACAACAUAGUGAACCUCUCCCUCGGGAGGCACACGCAGUGCCUACAUUAUUGCACCGUCCACAGGGCUCCCAAACCCACGUGGAGACUCUGGACACCCCUCUGGAUGCCUAAAGCCCGCCCUUGAGUUGCCCCAAGAUUGCUCACUUGAAGCCCAGUUUGGGCGGGGAGGAAGGUACGUAGCACACCUUGCCCCCUUAUAUAUGCUUGUUAAGCAAUUAGCCCUCUGGCAUGAGGAAACAUCAAUAUGUCCGAGGAGUCAUAAUGAUUUUUCAUAAAUUUCACAAGUUGAGAAAAAUCAUAAAACUUGGUCGGGAAAACACUUCCCCUAAGACCUCUUUCCAGUAAAAAUUUCAACUCGAAACUCCUUCAUUUGGAUGCCCAAACAACACACCAAAAAUUUGCACUAUUGGCUAGUGUUGCAAGCUGCUACUGUUGCUGGCCGUGUGCUUCUGCUGCUGCUGCUAGUGGCCCGUAUGCCUUGGGCUGCUUGGGGGCCAAUGUUAAGCCAUGUUGAGGCACUUCCAACGGCCACUCUUGGGCACUCAAAUGGCCACACCACCGCGAGCGAAACGUCACGGAGUUAGCCUUGCAAGGCAACUUGUGACACCAUGCCUCUUCCAAUGGGAUAGAGCCAGGAAUUUUUUUUUAAAGCCUAGCUGAGAUCAGUAUCCUACUUUGAUGUUAUUUCUAUGAUAAGCUUGUUUCUUAUACUUCUUUAUUCUCAUAAAAUAAUAUACUGUAGGGACUCUGUCAGCCCAUUUAACUGUUUCUUAUACUUCUUUAUUCUCAUAAAAUAAUGAGUUACCCUGUUGUUAUACCGCUUUUGAUAAUUAGUGCAUUGAGGAGUUCUGCAUUUUGGUUUUCUAAUGCUAUAUUUUUCACAAUGACAGCCAAUGAUUAUGUUAUAUUUUUCUAAUGCUAUACUUUGAGUUUGUAAAUAAAAUUGAGCAUUCCCACUGUCUUUCUUCUCACAUAUUGCAGGAUUCUCAUGUUGAUUGACAAAUGCCCAUCUAAGUUAUUUAUGGUCUUCUUCCACAGACAUUGGUAGUUAUGAUGCUGACCAAUCUCCAAUUCUUCUCAGUGCCAUCUUUAGUUUUUUGCUUUUUUCUAAUUUUUGCUUUGAUCACAUUAGAGGCUGUUUAUCUUAUUUACCAUCUUUGAAUUUAUUUUUUUUUUUGUAAAAUUUUGCUUUCUAUACUCAUUAUGGUCUGGGAAUUGAGAGCUUUCUACCAGCCGUUAACGCUGUUUUUCCUUUUCAAUUUUGUUACGGGAGUUAGUAUUCUAGGGAAUGUACAACACGUGUAUAUAUAUUAUAUUUCUAUGUUUAUAAUUUUUUUAAAAUAUUUUUUGUUCUUAUAAAAAUUCUAGGUUCUGAAAUGCAGGUGGAGUUGAAUGCUGUGUAGUGGUGAGUAAAUGAGAUUUAAUUGGAAGCAUAUCAUUUUCAUAGAUUGUUAGUUGCUGCCUUUCUGUUUAGUUCCUUGGCUCCAUUUAUCCAUCAAUGGUUCGGUUUUUAGUAGUGUUGGCUGUAGCUAUGGAUGAUUUUCAGAAUCCCUGCAUCCAGAUUCAAUCUUUUUGAGUACGUGAUGAUAUCUUCUCAUAUCGAUAUUGGAAUUUACUGUUGAUAUCAAAACAAGUUAUAAUAUAUAUGUUUUGUUUUAUUUGUAUUGUCGAUAUUUUUGUUUGUUUUAAAUACAAAAAUUUGAGUUCUUGAAUAU